rnacentral:piRNA from 1 species
GUAAAAUGAUUAUUUUUGUGUUGGUAGAUG